GGAGAGAUGGCCGAGUCGGCUGAAGGCGCUCGCCUGCUAAGCGAGUAUGGGGGGAAACUUCCAUCGAGGGUUCGAAUCCCUCUCUCUCCGCCA
rnacentral:tRNA from 1 species